CUACGUGCCAGCAGCCGCGGUAAUACGUAGGGGGCAAGCGUUAUCCGGAUUUACUGGGUGUAAAGGGAGCGUAGACGGAAUGGCAAGUCUGAAGUGAAAUACCCGGGCUCAACCUGGGAACUGCUUUGGAAACUGUUGUUCUAGAGUGUUGGAGAGGUAAGUGGAAUUCCUGGUGUAGCGGUGAAAUGCGUAGAUAUCAGGAAGAACACCGGAGGCGAAGGCGGCUUACUGGACAAUAACUGACGUUGAGGCUCGAAAGCGUGGGGAUCAAACAGGAUUAGAUACCCUGGUAGUCCGCACAGUAAACGAUGGAUGCCCGUUGUUAGUUCACUUAUGAAUUAGCGACCAAGCGAAAGCAUUAAGCAUCCCACCUGGGGAGUACGCCGGCAACGGUGAAACUCAAAGGAAUUGACGGGGGCCCGCACAAGCGGAGGAACAUGUGGUUUAAUUCGAUGAUACGCGAGGAACCUUACCCGGGCUUGAA
rnacentral:rRNA from 1 species